UGCAGUCGAACGGUGAAGCCAAGCUUGCUUGGUGGAUCAGUGGCGAACGGGUGAGUAACACGUGAGCAACCUGCCCUGGACUCUGGGAUAAGCGCUGGAAACGGCGUCUAAUACUGGAUAUGAGACGUGAUCGCAUGGUCGUGUUUGGAAAGAUUUUUCGGUCUGGGAUGGGCUCGCGGCCUAUCAGCUUGUUGGUGAGGUAAUGGCUCACCAAGGCGUCGACGGGUAGCCGGCCUGAGAGGGUGACCGGCCACACUGGGACUGAGACACGGCCCAGACUCCUACGGGAGGCAGCAGUGGGGAAUAUUGCACAAUGGGCGGAAGCCUGAUGCAGCAACGCCGCGUGAGGGAUGACGGCCUUCGGGUUGUAAACCUCUUUUAGCAGGGAAGAAGCGAAAGUGACGGUACCUGCAGAAAAAGCGCCGGCUAACUACGUGCCAGCAGCCGCGGUAAUACGUAGGGCGCAAGCGUUAUCCGGAAUUAUUGGGCGUAAAGAGCUCGUAGGCGGUUUGUCGCGUCUGCUGUGAAAUCCCGAGGCUCAACCUCGGGCCUGCAGUGGGUACGGGCAGACUAGAGUGCGGUAGGGGAGAUUGGAAUUCCUGGUGUAGCGGUGGAAUGCGCAGAUAUCAGGAGGAACACCGAUGGCGAAGGCAGAUCUCUGGGCCGUAACUGACGCUGAGGAGCGAAAGGGUGGGGAGCAAACAGGCUUAGAUACCCUGGUAGUCCACCCCGUAAACGUUGGGAACUAGUUGUGGGGACCAUUCCACGGUUUCCGUGACGCAGCUAACGCAUUAAGUUCCCCGCCUGGGGAGUACGGCCGCAAGGCUAAAACUCAAAGGAAUUGACGGGGACCCGCACAAGCGGCGGAGCAUGCGGAUUAAUUCGAUGCAACGCGAAGAACCUUACCAAAGGCUUGACAUAUACG
rnacentral:rRNA from 1 species